rnacentral:rRNA from 1 species
CGUAGGGGGCAAGCGUUGUCCGGAAUUAUUGGGCGUAAAGGGCGAGUAGGCGGAUAGUUAAGUCCGGUGUGAAAGAUCAGGGCUCAACCCUGAGAGUGCAUCGGAAACUGGUUAUCUUGAGGACAGGAGAGGAAAGUGGAAUUCCACGUGUAGCGGUGAAAUGCGUAGAUAUGUGGAGGAACACCAGUGGCGAAGGCGACUUUCUGGACUGUAUCUGACGCUGAGGAGCGAAAGCGUGGGGAGCAAACAGGAUUAGAUACCCUGGUAGUCCACGCUGUAAACGAUGAGUGCUAGGUGUAGAGGGUAUCGACCCCUUCUGUGCCGCAGUUAACACAAUAAGCACUCCGCCUGGGGAGUACGGCCGCAAGGUUG